CUUAGUACGAGAGGAACCGUUGAUUCAGAUAUUUGGUAUUUUCGCUUAGCUGAGAAGCUAGUGGCGAGAAGCUACCAUCUGUAGGAUUAUGACUGAACGCCUCUAAGUCAGAAUCCAUGCUGGAAAGCAACGUCUAAUCAAUAAUAAAUGAAAAACAUUAGGGGAAACCCAAAGUUCAUACUAUGGCUUGCUCCGCCCUUCUCAAUGAAGGUAGCGGUAAAAGCCGAAUCCUAAUUUCGAAUUAUUAUUGACACAAAUCUUUUGUAGACGACUUAACUUGGGACCGGGUAUUGUACGUCUGAGAGUAGGAUCACCCUACGAUCGACUGAGAUUCAGCCCGCGCUCCUACGAUU
rnacentral:rRNA from 1 species